rnacentral:rRNA from 1 species
UACGGAGGAUGCGAGCGUUAUCCGGAUUUAUUGGGUUUAAAGGGUGCGUAGGCGGCUUUUUAAGUCAGCGGUGAAAUUUUGCAGCUUAACUGUAACAGUGCCGUUGAUACUGGGGAGCUAGGAUUUGGUUGCUGUGGGUGGAAUGUGUGGUGUAGCGGUGAAAUGCUUAGAGAUCACACAGAAUAUUGAUUGCGAAGGCAGCUCACAAAGCCAAGAGUGACGCUGAGGCACGAAAGUGUGGGGAUCAAACAGGAUUA